AACGAACGCUGGCGGCAGGCUUAACACAUGCAAGUCGAACGCCCCGCAAGGGGAGUGGCAGACGGGUGAGUAACGCGUGGGAAUCUACCCAGAUCUUCGGAACAACUGAGGGAAACUUCAGCUAAUACCGGAUACGCCCUACGGGGGAAAGAUUUAUCGGUUCUGGAUGAGCCCGCGUUGGAUUAGCUAGUUGGUGGGGUAAUGGCCUACCAAGGCGACGAUCCAUAGCUGGUAUGAGAGGAUGAUCAGCCACACUGGGACUGAGACACGGCCCAGACUCCUACGGGAGGCAGCAGUGGGGAAUAUUGGACAAUGGGCGAAAGCCUGAUCCAGCCAUGCCGCGUGAGUGAUGAAGGCCUUAGGGUUGUAAAGCUCUUUCAGUGGGGAAGAUAAUGACGGUACCCACAGAAGAAGCCCCGGCUAACUUCGUGCCAGCCGCCGCUGUAA
rnacentral:rRNA from 1 species